rnacentral:misc_RNA from 1 species
GAUGAAGAACGCAGCAAAAUGCGAUAAGUAAUGUGAAUUGCAGAAUUCAGUGAAUCAUCGAAUCUUUGAACGCACAUUGCGCCCGCCAGCACUCUGGCGGGCAUGCCUGUCCGAGCGUCAUUUCGACCCCUCAAGCCCCGCCUGGCGUUGGGGCGCUGCCGCACAGCGCGCGCAGGCCCCCAAAGACAGCGGCGGCAGCGCCGCGAGACCGAGCGCAGUAGUCACCUCCUCGCUCCGGGACCGCGGCGCCGUCCGGCCGUAAAAGAAACCACCAAAGGUUGACCUCGGAUCAGGUAGGAAUACCCGCUGAACUUAAGCAUAUCAAUAAGCGGAGGA